rnacentral:rRNA from 1 species
UACGUAGGGGGCAAGCGUUGUCCGGAUUAUUGGGUCAUAAAGAGCUCGUAGGUGGUUCGGUAAGUCGGAUGUGAAACCUCCAGGCUCAACCUGGAGACGCCACCUGAUACUGCUGUGGCUAGAGUCCGGUGAGGGGAGUGUGGAACUCCGUGGUGUAGCGGUGAAAUGCGCAGAUAAUCAGGAAGAACACCAGCGGCGAAGGCGGCACCUCUGGGCCG